CCUGCUCCGGGGGACCCGGCUGGUGAUCGACGGAUCCAACCUGGUCUACCGGCUGUAUUUCAGCCACCCGAUACCCACGUUGUCAUCCCAUUGAAUAGGCGCAUUAUCAAUGAUAUCAUGCCAUAUCUAUGGCCAGUAGGCCACCUACUGGCCUACCAGUAGGUUCUGGUAGAUUGAUAUCACCCAUUUUUAAGGCUGACAUAAUGUUAGUGUAUGUGCUGUGACGUUACUGGCCCACCAGUAGGUUCUGGUAGAUUGAUAUCACCCAUUUUUAAGGCUGACAUAAUGUUAUUGUAUUUGCUGUCACGUGACCGGUCACAUGGCCGACAUUAUGAUUGUAUUCUUUAUGAUUUAUUAAUACUUUUAACAAAGUUUCGACAGUUAAACCUUUUUUGCGGAAAUUAAAUGCAUUUUCUUAACAUUUCGAGCAAGAAUUUGACAUUGUUUUUUCUAUAUAGAAGGCCUAAAUAUUUUAUGUAGUUAAUAUGGACCUCAAGCCAAUAAGUUUAUAUGGGCUUAAAUCCUCUGAGCAGACCUUGAAUUGAAAGAUGUUAUUUUAUUUUAUUUUAUUUUAAUUUUUGCAAACGGUUACAGUACAAUUAAAUAGAUGAAAGAAACAAAUUAUUAUCUUGUUGUUUCUGUCGCUAUGGCAACCCGGAUCGAAGCUGCUGAUGCCGUUUCUAGCCCGGAUAUGGAAACUACGUAAUGAAUGACUCAUGAUAACGUUUGUGGUAAAAACAAAAACAAAAACAGAAGAAGAAGAAGAUAAAGAAGAAGAAGAAGAUAAAGAAGAUAAAGAAGAUAAAGAAGAUAAAGAAGAUAAAGAAGAUAAAGAUAUCAGCGUAUUGUGCUUUCGUCCUCUCAAGAGCAAAAUCAUACUCCAACUAUGAGAAGUGGACUACGGUGAAAUAUCUGAUUGCGUGUCGUCCUGCAGGCAGAAUCACCUUCUUGUCCCAUGCCUGGGGGGGCAGGUGCCUGGGGGGGCAGGGCAUCACAUGUUAAGAUAACAAAGAAAUCGGGCUUCAUUUCACCUGCUACCACAACAUGGGGACCAGAUUUUGGCUGAUCGGGGCUUUACCCUGAAGGAUGACUUUUCCGUGCUAGGUGUCAGUCUCAUAACCCCAGCCUUCACUCGUGGCAAGAAGCAGCUCACAGGCAAAGACGAUGAAGAAUCCAGAAUUAAAUCAAAAAUUCGGAUUCAUGUUGGCAAGUACAUUUAUUUUCCACAGACUGGCAAUAUAUUCUAUCUGAUGGCACUUAAAAUCGGUUUACAAUUUCAUUGAAACUCAUACAUUAAUAUCCGACAACACAACUCAAAGAUUAAUAAGGAAUAGGUAUUGAGAACCUUCUGAACCAGUGGAGAGCAGGGCAGCAGGGCAGCCAGACCUGUUAAACAACUAUGAGUACUGACCCUUAGCAGAUAUAAAAUAGCACAAAACAUGUAAAAUACCAGUAUGAACGUCCAUGCUGAAAAAGACUCUA